UGUAAAAUUUAAUCCAAAAGGAGCACACCUAGGGCAAUUGUCGUUAUUUAUAGACCCGAACCUGGAUGAUCUAUCCAUGACCAGGAUGAAACUUGGGUGAAAAUAAGCAGAAAUUCGAAUUGACUGAUGUUGAAUAAUCAACAGAUGAGUGUAGUUGGGGGUGAAAUGCCACUCGAACCCAAAGCUAGCUAGGUCUCCUCGGAAUUCAUUGACAUGCAACAGUUGACUAGAAAUCUACGGGUAAAACAUUUUUUUGACGUGGGCAGCGAGAAUGGUACCAAAUCGAGAUAAACUUUGAAUACUAGAUAUGACGCGAAAAUAACAACAGGUAAUGUUAGCCUGUGAGACGGUGGGAGAUAAGCUUAAUCAUCAAGAGGGAAACAGCUUUGAGCGCCACCUAAAGCCCCUAAAUGACCGCUUAGUGAUAAAGGAGGUAGGGCUGCGGAGACAACCACGAGAACAACCAUGAGGUUUGCCUAGAAGCAACUACCCUUGAACUUAUUUGGAAGUGCUUAGGUCCAACAUCGAAAACCAAAGAUGCAUGGCGGUUGGACUCACCAAAAACUUUUUUCUUUUUUAACGUUUGGUAUUAUUAAAAAAUUUUCGUUAUUAAUCUUGGCAUGUAUUCCAAAGCAAA
rnacentral:ncRNA from 1 species